rfam:Gossypium hirsutum cultivar TM-1 chromosome 20, whole genome shotgun sequence
UGUUAAAAAUAUCAUUCAUUCAUACUAUUAAAAAUUGGCGUAAUUGAUAAAAUAACAAGAUAAUUACACGUGGCAUGUCACGUGUACCUUUUGUUGACGUACAAUGACUUGUUUUUAAUAGUAAAAAUAAAUGAAAUUUUUAAUA